AUUGAACGCUGGCGGCAGGCCUAACACAUGCAAGUCGAACGGUAACAGGAAGCAGCUUGCUGCUUUGCUGACGAGUGGCGGACGGGUGAGUAAUGUCUGGGAAACUGCCUGAUGGAGUGGGAUAACUACUGGAAACGGUAGCUAAUACCGCAUAACGUCGCAAGACCAAAGAGGGGGACCUUCGGGCCUCUUGCCAUCGGAUGUGCCCAGAUGGGAUUAGCUAGUAGGUGGGGUAACGGCUCACCUAGGCGACGAUCCCUAGCUGGUCUGAGAGGAUGACCAGCCACACUGGAACUGAGACACGGUCCAGACUCCUACGGGAGGCAGCAGUGGGGAAUAUUGCACAAUGGGCGCAAGCCUGAUGCAGCCAUGCCGCGUGUAUGAAGAAGGCCUUCGGGUUGUAAAGUACUUUCAGCGGGGAGGAAGGGAGUAAAGUUAAUACCUUUGCUCAUUGACGUUACCCGCAGAAGAAGCACCGGCUAACUCCGUG
rnacentral:rRNA from 1 species